AAGCGAAGUAGAGAUAUGGAGCGAAACCCAAAAAAGACGGUCUCAGUUCGGAUUGAAGGCUGAAAUUCGCCUUUAUGAAGCCGGAAUUGCUAGUAAUGGCAGGUCAGCAUACUGCCGUGAAUACGUUCCCGGGCCUUGUACACACCGCCCGUCACACCAUGAGAGUUGGGAAUACCCGAAGCCUGUGAGCUAACUGUAAAGAGGCAGCAGUCGAAGGUAGAAUCAAUGAUUGGGGUGAAGUCGUAACAAGGUAAC
rnacentral:rRNA from 1 species